rnacentral:SRP_RNA from 1 species
GCAUGGUGGCUCACGCCUGUAAUCCCAGCACUUUGGGAGGCCAAGGCAGGUGGAUCACUUGAGGUCAGGAGUUCAAGACCAGCUGGCAAACAGGGUGAAACCCUGUCUCUACC